rnacentral:misc_RNA from 1 species
CGGGGGUUCACAAACCAACAACAAGAGAUCAAGUAAUGUCUUAUUCUACAGGGAAAGCUGAUACAGAUUCAUACGGGUUUUACGAAAGCUGACUAGCGAAACGCUUUAGUGAAGAAAAGCGUGUGAAAACAGAGCAAAACGGGCGCAAAUCGCUUCUUUAAGCUGAAACCAGCCGAGUGAAGCAAGAAGAGAAUGGUGCAGCGCAGCGUGCUCGUCGUUCUCGUGCUGUUUGGCGUCGCCUUCAGCAGUGGUCAAGAAUUUAAAUGGAAAUACAUUGAGCAGCUGCGGUGGAAACUCCAACAGCUCGAAAGACUACAUCAGCUGAGCAAGGCAAUUGACGAGGUGGCGCCCUUCAGAAUCUCCGGUUAUAUCUUAACCACAUCAACUACUGGUAACGCAAGAGCCCAGGAAUUCCCCAGGGAAGAUCCCGACGCAACAGCCAAGCGCACAACACAAACUUUGCCCCCCUCAACAGUCAAACCAACGCCAACAACAACAACAGUAACAUUAAAGAGAACGCCCAUGGAGGUCGCUCCGGGGUCCACCUAUAACGUUCAAGUGGCAAGUAGAUUGCGCAGGCCGGCUGUGAUGGAUGAUGUAGGACCGUACGAUUAUGAACCCGGAUGGCGGGGAGGAAGGAGGGGUAGGGACGUUGACUUUGUGCUCAACGACGAGGAGGGGUGGUAAGAAUCAGAGUUGAAAGAGAACUGAUGCAGCAACAACCCGCUCAGCAGGCAUUUAGGAAAUUGGAUCCAAAUUUUUAUUAUAACUAUGAAGUAUUGCUUUAUUUAUUCAUUUAUCCUUUUCUGAUACGAGUACGUUUUUCACAAUGACUAUGACCUUACUAUUUACAUUUAUAUUUUAACUACAAUAACAAUUUACAAAGAGAAAUGUUUAUUUUAUUAGGCCAUUAACUUCAUUUAUUUGCUUGUUUUUGAAAAGUUGCAUUUGUUGAAGACAUUUUUAAUGAUGAAUCUUAAGGUCAGCGAUUCUAUUUUUACAAGAUCUACUCAUUAAAUUGCCAAUAUUUAUUUAAAAGCUCGGCGCCUUGCCAUUUUAGGUCUUGUUGAUUAGAUUAUGAAACCUUAACACGUGUGCCGCUCCUUAAUAUGAAUAUGGAAUAUGACUAUUGUUGAAACCGAAACUUAGAUUAGAAAUAAUUAAAACACGAUUGUCCUUGUUGUUUCUCACUGGCUACAUUUCAUUUGUUUAGGCUGACGUGCAAAAUUCCAGGUUUUAAACAUAUAAUCAUUUUUCCCUUUUUCUCUCUACAAUAUAAUUCUGUUUUUAUGAUGCAACAAUAUUGUUUUUAGAACUCAUAGAAUGGAUAAAAGCAAGCAAGAGUGACCUAUGAUAUAAAUUAAAGUGAAUGUUGAAUUUUGAAAUAUUGAUGUUCAAACUCAUUUUUUUCUUAGAUACACUAAGAUACAUACGUA